GACAGAGGCCUCAAGCGUUAGGCGGAAUCACUGGGCUUAAAGCGUGUGUAGGCGGAUCGUUAAGUGUCUUGUGAAAUCCCACGGCUCACCCGUGGAACUGCUGGGCAUACUGGCGAUCUUGGGCCAACUAGGGGCAACUGGAACAAGCGGUGGAGCGGUGAAAUGCGUAGAUAUCGCUUGGAACGCCGAAGGUGAAAACAGGUUGCUGGGGUCGUGCCGACGCUGAGACACGAAAGCCAGGGGAGCAAACGGG
rnacentral:rRNA from 1 species